GCUCACUUCAGCAGUCCAUAUACUAAAAUUGGAAUGAUACAGAGAUUACCAUGGCCCCUGCACAAGGAUGACACACAAAUUUGUGAAGCAUUCCAUAUUUGG